GCACAAGACAAAACACUAAUAUCCGAAACAAACAUAUACCGUCACGAACAAUCUACUAUCCAUUCAUUCAUUCCUUCAUUCAUUCGUUUGUUUGUUCGUUUGAUGAGCUUGAGUAAGCGAUCCUACCUCCACAUCAGUUGGUGGCGCUACUGCAUGAGUUUGUUGUCUACCAACCACCAUAAUAAACCGUUGAAGAAGAAGAAGACUUUUGCGCGUCCACGCUGGUCGUUUUACUGUACGCGGAGGCAGGCGGACUGCGUGUACAUGAGUUAAAGGUGAGUCUGAUUAUACAUUAUCAAAUCUUUUUACAUAUUUCCAGGUGUGAAGGUAUGGUUAAGGAAUGGAAGAGUUAUUUCGCUCUAAAUUCUGUAAGUUAUAAUGUCGUAUAAUUAUAAUGUAUAAUAUAAUGUCAACAUCGCUAUCAAGGUAAUAGAACAGGGGUGGGCAAUCAUGUGCCAUGGAGGGCCGAGAGGCUGCAGGUUUUCUUUCCAACCCAAAACUCCACCAGGUAAUUUCACUGAGUACCUUACCGCCAAGCUAAUCAGUGAAAUCACCUGGGGGAGUUUUGAGUUGGAAAGAAAACCUGCAGCCUCUUGGCCCUCCAUGGCACGAUGGCCACCCCUGUAAUAGAAGCUUCCAUGCAGGAACGUGAGACUGAACCCUUCCACCUGUUAUCCAACGAAAUACACUGUUUUGAAAUUAUAAUGUAACAGAGUAUGCAGAAAUGAAAAAUGUCCUCAAAUAAAUACAUUUCUUCCAAUUUAAUUUUUAACAUAUAACAUUUUGAACAGAAAAAUAACAUUAAAACAAUUGAAACGAAUUCUUAAUACAUUUGAUAUAUAUAUGUAUAUAUAACAAUUACGAUUUCUUAACAAAGUUAUGUGUGUGUGUGUGUAUGUGUGUGUGUGUGUGUCUGUGAGGGAACUAUUUACAAUGAAAAUGUAAUUCUUCAAAUUAAUUUUAUUUUAACAAUAUUUCUGCCUGAUACAAUGGCUGUGCAUUUUAAGGGGCCCUCUAGGAGGGCCUCAUCGAAGUUGGGCCCCCACAAAUCUUUUAAAAUUAGGAGGGUCUCCCCAUUUUCCUGCAGGACCUCUAACAUUUCUGGGCCGCUGCUGGAGGUGGCCCCUCCCUCAUCAAGGACACCAACAAUGGUGAGCUCCACCUCGGUCUGAUGCUGCUUCUGUUGACAAAUAAGACAAACACAGGUAAGGAAUCAGGUGAUUUGUAUUAUGUUGUUUUUUCUGUAACAAUGGCCCAAUAUUGAUUAAUAUUGUGAGUAGCAUUGUCCUGAGGCCCUGCCCAUCCUGGCACAAGAGGAAAUGGUUCAGAUGUGAGACCGGGUACAAAAGUGUCAAUACACUGAAAUCUUCCCUGCCAUUAAUUAAGUGCCCCUCACGUGGAUGGCUAUACACAAGCAGACAAAAUUGUUGGCACCUUUCUUUUAAAAUAAGCUAGACCAACAAAGCUCAAGAAAUGACUAGAAACUAACAGAAAUAAGAAUGAAAUAUAAUAAACAGAAAAUUAACCAUUGAAAAUGUGACAUUGGAUUUGAAUUUUGGUUUAACAGAACUACUUUUAAAAAGCAAAUGUAUGAAACUGACAUAUCCAAACACACUUUAAAACAAAACAAAAAAAUUGACAAAACUGGCCUGAACAAAAUUGAUGGUACCUUUAACUUUAUACUACGUUGCACAACCUUUUGAGGCGAUUACUGCAUUCAAGUGAUUUCUGUAACUCUUAGAGAGACCUGUGCACCUGUCCACAGGUGUUUUGGCCCACUCCUGAUGUGCAAACACUUCCAGUGGUGUAAGGUUUGAAGAGUGUCAUCUCCAGACUGCAUGUUUCAGCUCCUUCCACAGACGUUCAAUUGUGUUUCGGUGGGAGUUUUUCUUUCUUUAACAUAAGGGUGCCAACAAUUUUGUUCAUGCGUGUGUAUCUUUAUAUCAACUGUCGAUUAAUUAAGUAGUUUUUAAACCUAGUUGCGUUUUUGUGAUUCUGUAAGCUACCAAUUGUAAGGGAAGAAAGGGUUAUAUUUUUCAAAAAGUGUCUUUACCUGAAAACAAUGACAACAACAAAUUACCUUAAGUUUUGUAAAAUUGGUGGAGUUGAGCUGGAGCCCAUACUCCGUUUUGAGUGACUUCAUAUGAGUCACUCUCACCGUCUCACCCACAGCAAGGGGCUGCACAGCUGCCUCCCUCCACAGGGAGACCCUGACAGUGGUUUUGCCCUGUAAAAUGUAAGGGAACACCUUAUUGUCUGCAGUCACAAUACAUAUGACACUACAAAAUACCAUAGGCUCUUGUCUCAUUUAAGUCAGUGGGGCUGAGCAGAUGCACGGUGCUAAACUAAGCAAUAAUUUAUGAGAAAGAUAAGAUAAGAAGAACUUUAUCGACCCCCAAGGGGAAAUUUGAUAACAAAUCAGCAUCAUUUGAUAAUUUAUUGAGUGUGAACUAAUCACAUGAAUUCAAAGUGACAUGCUCAUUUGUGUAGAGUGAGAAACAGGCUGAAUGACAGAUCUGCAUAAAUUCAAGUGUUAUUUCAUCAUGAUUCAUACAUUGCGCAAAUGUUAUUAAGCAUACAAUAUUUCACAAAAGUGGGAGCACCCCUCACAUUUCUGCAAAUAUUUAAUUAUAUAUUUUCAUGUCAUUUCUAAAGAGAUGACACUUUGACACAAUGUACAGUAGUCAGUGUACAGGUUGUGUAACAGUUCAUUAAGUGACUUGUAUGACCUUCUUUCUUAAACAGAAGGAUACCAACAAUUUUCACAGCUGCAGUUACCUGCUUCAGGGUAAGUUUUCGGAGAGGCACAGCCUCUCUCCCCGACUCCACCUUUCGCACAGCCGAUAUCUAAACAAAAAAGGUUCUGUAUUUAGUAAGCUAUAUAUCUGAGAAUGCAAUUUUAUCUUGUUAUUUGUGAUGGUUUUAAUUUCCUAGAUACGUGGCUGUACCAUAGUAGCUUAUACUGACCUCAGUAAUCACCCCCUCGAUUGAUAUCAGGCCCUGCUGCUCCCGGCACUGACUGAGCUCCACCAGUGGCGAGGCCGGGUGCAGCGAGGCCUCUGCUCUCGCAGUGAGUUCAGCGGGGCAGGCAAUUUUACUGCCCUUGAAAAAUUGCGUCCCACCUCCAACAUUAAUGAUGAGCGGUGGGGACUUUCCCACCAGGGUGUGGCCCCUCAUGAAGUAGGCCCCCCCCUCUACCACUUUAUCUGCCGCUGCCUCAAACAGUGUUAUUUUGGCCAGGGAUUCGCCAUCACUGAUAAUGGCCGUUUUGUUCAUUUUUGUGCAGGUGGGGGUUACUGAGGACUCCCCAAAUGACCACGACACCACUCUCGGGGUGUCCUCAAUUUUUAGAAAAACCACGUGGAGGGGCGGUAGUUUGACAUACGGGGAGGCUGGCCUGGAAUCGAGGAGUUUUCUCAGUGCCAUUCUGCAACAAAAAAGGGUAAACAUGUUCAGUAUUUUUCUCUCAUUUCAUCCCCCCCUUCUCCUCCUUUCUUCUCUCCAUCUUCCCCCUUCCGUAUCUCUCUACCCCCCUUCUCCGCCUUCCCUCUCGCUGUCUUCCCCCCUCCCUUCCUCUCUCCCUAGUCCUCUUCCCAUCCCUCCCUCCCUUUCCUAUGUAUGUAUGUGUGUAACUUGUUUAUUUAUUUAUUAACUUAUUUAUUAA